rnacentral:rRNA from 1 species
UACGUAGGGGGCAAGCGUUGUCCGGAAUCAUUGGGCGUAAAGAGCGCGUAGGCGGCCCUGUAAGUCCGCUGUGAAAGUCAAGGGCUCAACCCUUGAAUGCCGGUGGAUACUGCAGGGCUAGAGUUCGGAAGAGGCGAGUGGAAUUCCCGGUGUAGCGGUGAAAUGCGCAGAUAUCGGGAGGAACACCUAUGGCGAAGGCAGCUCGCUGGGACGUUACUGACGCUGAGACGCGAAAGCGUGGGGAGCAAACAGG